AGCAAGUGUUCAGAUUCUCAAAAUUUUGAAUUCUCAGGCGCGCAUUUUAUCUAAUUCUCACCUUUCAAAAUUCAAACACCCUUUUUCUCUCUUCUUUAACACCAUAAAAACAACCCCACGUAGAGAGAGAGAAAGAGAGAGAGAGAGAGAAAGCACAACAAUUACAUGUUUAAGCAAAAAGUAAAAAGGGGGAAGUAUAGGUCACCUGGCAUUUACCGCGAAAUAGUUUCCACCUCUUUUCUCUUUUUGAUCACUUCCGUUUUAAGAUAUGAAUUCAAAAUUGUAUUAGAAUGUACUACCUCCAAUUUUGAGUUCUGUUCAACCACCACUUUCAAAUCAACAAUCAAUGGUUGAUAUAUCACCCACGAUGGGUGCAAGAGGCACUACAGUUACAGGACCAUCGAAGAUUGAUCCUAACCAAAUUCCCCGGUCGAUUACCAAUACCUUAGUGCUUCUUCAUAAAACUCACCAGGGUAACCAAGCCGAUCCUCCACCGGUAUGGUAUUUUAAUUAUUCUAAAAUUUUCUCUCUUAACAUUCCAGCAAUGUUUAUUGAAUUUUUUAAAAUUUUGCAAUAUUUUGAAGCCUGCUACCAGUGAAUUCAUUGUUAGGUUUACUGGAAAUUGCAAUUCGCGAUGAGAUCUUUGUGCUUCUGGGUUUAACAGAGAUUAACUGGGGGAGACGGACUGAUUUUUGUGCUUCUACAUUUUAUCGGAGAUUUGCGAUGUGCGCUUGUUUAUUCCAGUGAUUUUGCUUGCCAAAUAUUUUACAAAUGUUGCUCAGAUCUGAAUGAAGCCUCGCUGCAACUCUCCUUUAUGAACAAUCAGAAGGUUACAAAGGCAUGUUGUUAUUUGACAUCAGAUGAGUUUUCUGGCCAUAUAUAAAUUCAUUUUUUCCUUUAUGUUCCAAGGUAUACAAUGAUCCAGUUCUAAGGUAGUUACAACCGAUUGAUUCUUUUCAAGUGUUACUGUUAAUUUGUAUGUGUUUGUUUGUUCACUUGCAAAGGAAUCAUAAAAAGAUAAUGGAGAUUCAGCAAAAGGUUCUACAAUUUAAAGUUGGCAGGAUAAGAGAAGGGUUAAGAUAGUGAGAACUUUUUAGUUUUCCUUUUUUUGUUGUUGUUUAUAGUUAGACAUUUCGGUGAACACCUUUCAUGCAUUUAGACAUUUUAGUUAAUAAGCUUGUACUCUUUAAAAAAUAAAAUAUAUGAGUUGUGUUAGGACGAAUUGUGAUCCUCAAUCCAAAUUUGCUGCUAUUGAUCGAGCAACUGAGGCUCAAGCAAGCCUUUGACCCGAGUUACUGAAUUUUGUUAAGUCUAGGUGCCCAUCAAAUGUUAGUGCUUGCUUUUGUUUGGUAAGUUUUUUUAGUUUAUAACAAAGUUAUGAUUAUAUGACGAUUGUUUGUGCUACAUAUGGCAGAGACUCAAGAAAUUGUGUGAUGCACAUAUGCUAAAACAGGAUGAAACAGUUGUAUUGGUCGAUGAAGAUGAUCAAGAAUUCAAAACAGAGUGGUGGCCGGAAAGGGUUUUCUUUACGUUGCGUUAAAGGUCUUGGUCAUUGUGUCUAUCAACUGGGUUUCGGUCAUUACGUUCUUUCUUGUGUUUCUAUACAUUGUGUUAUUAUCAAAACUUAUAACACAUGUUAAUUUGCGUUUUGUCCAUAGUGUUUUUAUUAGAACCUAUAACCCAAUGAAGAUAGUGUUAUAUAUGGGUUUUCUACACAUUGUGUUAUUGGUUAUGAUUAUUUUGUUUUUCAA